rnacentral:rRNA from 1 species
UACUUGCAGUGUCCUCGUCGUAGGUACCGGCCGUCUUUGUGAUUCGUUGGAUCAGAUUUAACCCGCUCCGAACGGACGAGGCGCUUUUACGAGGGUAGGCACGAGGCACCGUUUCGUCAUCGAGAAGGUGCCGGCCGCUUGUGGCGCUACAACUAGACGAACGAACAGCCUCGCCCUCCCAAACGAGGCACGAGCAGGGUAGCGCCGCGAGCACUCGCUUGACGCGUGGUUGGGACGCCGGUGCUGCAGGGAGCGGGGCGCGCCGCGAGCAUCCGCUCGACGCGCGGCAAGGACUCCGGCGUCGGAGGCAGCGGGCCGCGCCGCGAGCCGCCGCUCGACGCGCGGCAAGGACUCCGCCGUCGGAGACAGCGAGCCGCGAAGCGAGCAACAGCUAGACGCGCGGCAAGGACUCCAACGUCGGAGGACAGCGGCCCGCGCCGCGAGCAGCCGCUCGACGCGCGGCAAGGAAGAGCCACCAGUGGAAGCACCGGGACAAACAACACAAACAGCACGGGGUCGAUGACUCGAAGCAGGUCGUGCAUGGUAUUGUACCGACGCUUCUGAACGGCACCAACUUCCUGACCCUCUUCUGUAACCUAGUCUCUCUCCCUUCUUGUGUUACCUUCUGUAUCGAAUGUAAACCCCCUAGACUAAGGAGUAACCAGGGCCGUUCUUAACCACUUCUACGGUAGUUCAAGGAGCAUAGGGAGACAACCUAGAUAUAAACAUCUAUCUAAACUACCUCCACAUACUACACCAGACAAACCUCAUUGACACAUGCCCUUUUCAAGUGGUGGUUACAAAACCGCGCGUUCUCACUAAAUAAAGGG